AGUCGAGCGGUAGAGAGAAGCUUGCUUCUCUUGAGAGCGGCGGACGGGUGAGUAAUACCUAGGAAUCUGCCUGAUAGUGGGGGAUAACGUUCGGAAACGGACGCUAAUACCGCAUACGUCCUACGGGAGAAAGCAGGGGACCUUCGGGCCUUGCGCUAUCAGAUGAGCCUAGGUCGGAUUAGCUAGUUGGUGAGGUAAUGGCUCACCAAGGCUACGAUCCGUAACUGGUCUGAGAGGAUGAUCAGUCACACUGGAACUGAGACACGGUCCAGACUCCUACGGGAGGCAGCAGUGGGGAAUAUUGGACAAUGGGCGAAAGCCUGAUCCAGCCAUGCCGCGUGUGUGAAGAAGGUCUUCGGAUUGUAAAGCACUUUAAGUUGGGAGGAAGGGCAGUUACCUAAUACGUGACUGUCUUGACGUUACCGACAGAAUAAGCACCGGCUAACUCUGUGCCAGCAGCCGCGGUAAUACAGAGGGUGCAAGCGUUAAUCGGAAUUACUGGGCGUAAAGCGCGCGUAGGUGGUUUGUUAAGUUGAAUGUGAAAUCCCCGGGCUCAACCUGGGAACUGCAUCCAAAACUGGCAAGCUAGAGUAUGGUAGAGGGUAGUGGAAUUUCCUGUGUAGCGGUGAAAUGCGUAGAUAUAGGAAGGAACACUAGUGGCGAAUGCGACUACCUGGACUGAUACUGACACUGAUGUGCGAAAGCGUGGGGAGCAAACAGAUUAGAUACCCUGGUAGUCCACGCCGUAAACGAUGUCAACUAGCCGUUGG
rnacentral:rRNA from 1 species